CCAACCAAAGGAAACCUGUUCUUGAGAUAGGACAUCUAGGAAAUCCCUUUGCAGCUGUUGCAUCUGAAUGUAAUAGCUUGCUAGCAGGAACACAAAAUGGUACUUCCUCAGCUAGAACAGCAGAUAACACAGCUUGAAAGGGACUUUGCAGAUGCUUGGAAACUUUGUAGUCAGAAAGAUCAGAGGGAAUACGCAAAAGAUUUCAGCUCUCCUGCAGGCAAUGGGAGAUAUCAAAGCUGAAGUGGCUAAGGUGGAGCACUUUGACAGUCUGGUCAAGAAGCUGAAAGCAAGUGUCCAGAAUGCAAUGAAAAGAAGAAUCUGAAGGCGAGAAAAGCCAUCAUAUUUAGGACUGGGAUUCAGCAGCCCAAGAAUUUGCCAGCCAGGAUGAAAAACUUCUAAUGGAAUCCAGCUUGAAAGCAAGUCAAGAGCAGCUAAGUGAGGAAAGAGCAGAACCAAGUUCGCCCCGACCAGUAGAAAAUCACAGACAGAACUGAAGCCACUGAGCGAACGCAUUAUAGAUUCUCAUGAAGAAAUUAGUGAUUACAAGGAGCUUGGAGCACCAUACUUGGGCCUCGUUGCAAUCUCACAACAAUCCUGUGAGGUAG